rnacentral:tRNA from 1 species
UCCCUGGUGGCUCAGACGGUAAAGCAUCUGCCUACAAUGCAGGAGACCCAGAUUCAAUCCCUGGGUUGGGAA